AGAGUUUGAUCCUGGCUCAGAUUGAACGCUGGCGGAAUGCUUUACACAUGCAAGUCGAACGGACUUAAAGAGCUUGCUCUUUAAGUUAGUGGCGAACGGGUGAGUAAUAUAUCGGAACGUAUCCAAUAAUGGGGGAUAACUAAUCGAAAGGUUGGCUAAUACCGCAUACGCCCUACGGGGGAAAGCUAGGGACCUUCGGGCCUGGCGUUAAUGGAGCGGCCGAUAUCUGAUUAGCUAGUUGGUGGGGUAAAGGCCCACCAAGGCUUCGAUCAGUAGCUGGUCUGAGAGGACGACCAGCCACACUGGAACUGAGACACGGUCCAGACUCCUACGGGAGGCAGCAGUGGGGAAUUUUGGACAAUGGGCGAAAGCCUGAUCCAGCCAUUCCGCGUGAGUGAAGAAGGCCUUCGGGUUGUAAAGCUCUUUCGCAAGGGAAGAACACUUAAUCUCUAACAUAGAUUGAGGUUGACGGUACCUUGAUAAGAAGCACCGGCUAACUACGUGCCAGCAGCCGCGGUAAUACGUAGGGUGCGAGCGUUAAUCGGAAUUACUGGGCGUAAAGCGUGCGCAGGCUGUUUUGUAAGUCAGAUGUGAAAUCCCUGAGCUCAACUUAGGAACUGCGUUUGAAACUACAAGACUAGAAUAUGUCAGAGGGGGGUAGAAUUCCACGUGUAGCAGUGAAAUGCGUAGAGAUGUGGAGGAAUACCAAUGGCGAAGGCAGCCCCCUGGGAUAAUAUUGACGCUCAUGCACGAAAGCGUGGGGAGCAAACAGGAUUAGAUACCCUGGUAGUCC
rnacentral:rRNA from 1 species